rnacentral:rRNA from 3 species
UUGGUGCCUUCGGGAACUCUGAGACAGGUGCUGCAUGGCUGUCGUCAGCUCGUGUUGUGAAAUGUUGGGUUAAGUCCCGCAACGAGCGCAACCCUUAUCCUUUGUUGCCAGCGGUUAGGCCGGGAACUCAAAGGAGACUGCCAGUGAUAAACUGGAGGAAGGUGGGGAUGACGUCAAGUCAUCAUGGCCCUUACGAGUAGGGCUACACACGUGCUACAAUGGCGCAUACAAAGAGAAGCGACCUCGCGAGAGCAAGCGGACCUCAUAAAGUGCGUCGUAGUCCGGAUUGGAGUCUGCAACUCGACUCCAUGAAGUCGGAAUCGCUAGUAAUCGUGGAUCAGAAUGCCACGGUGAAUACGUUCCCGGGCCUUGUACACACCGCCCGUCACACCAUGGGAGUGGGUUGCAAAAGAAGUAGGUAGCUUAACCUUCGGGAGGGCGCUUACCACUUUGUGAUUCAUGACUGGGGUGAAGUCGUAACAAGGUAACCGUAGGGGAACCUGCGGUUGGAUCACCUCCUUACCUUAAAGAA